UCGGGAAUAUUGGACAAUGGGUGAGAGCCUGAUCCAGCCAUGCCGCGUGCAGGAAGAAGGCGUUAUGCGUUGUAAACUACUUUUGCCAGGGGAUAAAAAGACCGUGCGCGGUUAAUUGAAGGUACCUGGUGAAUAAGCCACGGCUAACUACGUGCCAGCAGCCGCGGUAAUACGUAGGUGGCAAGCGUUGUCCGGAUUUAUUGGGUUUAAAGGGUGCGUAGGUGGCCCUGUAAGUCAGUGGUGAAAUAUCUCAGCUUAACUGAGAGGGUGCCAUUGAUACUGCAGGGCUUGAGUACAGAUGAGGUAGGCGGAAUUGACGGUGUAGCGGUGAAAUGCAUAGAUAUCGUCAAGAACACCGAUAGCGAAGGCAGCUUACCAAGCUGUAACUGACACUGAGGCACGAAAGUGUGGGGAUCAAACAGGAUUAGAUACCCACGUAGUCCCUGAGCGGGCUGGCAAGGCGCAU
rnacentral:rRNA from 1 species